CUCAUUAAAUCAGUUAUAGUUUAUUUGAUGGUCUCUUUGUUCUUCUUUUUACCUACUUGGAUAACCGUGGUAAUUCUAGAGCUAAUACAUGCGCAAGGUCCCGAGCGCGGAGAGUGGGGCUUCACGGCUCUACUCUUGCAUGCGCAGAGGGAUGUAUUUAUUAGGUUAAACAACCAGCAUUUUUUCAUAUAUCUGGUGAUUCAUAGUAACUCUUUCGGAUCGCAUUCAUG
rnacentral:rRNA from 1 species